rnacentral:rRNA from 1 species
AGUGAACGCUGGCGGUAGGCCUAACACAUGCAAGUCGAACGGCAGCACAGUAAGAGCUUGCUCUUACGGGUGGCGAGUGGCGGACGGGUGCGGAAUACAUCGGAAUCUACUUUUUCGUGGGGGAUAACGUAGGGAAACUUACGCUAAUACCGCAUACGACCUACGGGUGAAAGCAGGGGAUCUUCGGACCUUGCGCGAUUGAAUGAGCCGAUGUCGGAUUAGCUAGUUGGCGGGGUAAAGGCCCACCAAGGCGACGAUCCGUAGCUGGUCUGAGAGGAUGAUCAGCCAGACUGGAACUGAGACUCGGUCCAGACUCCGACGGGAGGCAGCAGUGGGGAAUAUUGCACGAUGGGCGCAAGCCUGAUCCAGCCAUACCGCGUGAGUGAAGAAGGACUUCGGGUUGUAGAGCCCUGUUGUUGGGAAAGAAAAGCAGCAGGUUAAUACCCCACUGUUCUGACGGUACCCAAAGAAUAAGCACCGGCUAACUUCGUG